AUCCAUCCUGGCACAGGAGAAACCAUGAUUCCAGAGGUGGUUAACCCAGGGCACAGCUUCUGCAUUUCAUACCUGAUGUGCUGAACUCUGAGGUUUUCCCAAAGUCGGGAAACUUGUGACUGCAGAAUUGUGGCAGUGAGGAACUGUGUUGACACUCUUUUCU
ensembl:snRNA U1 U1 spliceosomal RNA